GACGAACGCUGGCGGCGUGCCUAAUACAUGCAAGUCGAACGAGAGCAACCGGUGCUUGCACUGUUCAAUCUAGUGGCGAACGGGUGAGUAACACGUGGGUAACCUGCCCAUCAGAGGGGGAUAACAUCCGGAAACGGAUGCUAAAACCGCAUAGGUCUUCGAACCGCAUGGUUUGAAGAGGAAAAGAGGCGCAAGCUUCUGCUGAUGGAUGGACCCGCGGUGCAUUAGCUAGUUGGUGAGGUAACGGCUCACCAAGGCCGUGAUGCAUAGCCGACCUGAGAGGGUGAUCGGCCACAUUGGGACUGAGACACGGCCCAAACUCCUACGGGAGGCAGCAGUAGGGAAUCUUCCGCAAUGGACGCAAGUCUGACGGAGCAACGCCGCGUGAGUGAAGAAGGUUUUCGGAUCGUAAAACUCUGUUGUUAGAGAAGAACAAGUGCUAGAGUAACUGUUAGCGCCUUGACGGUAUCUAACCAGAAAGCCACGGCUAACUACGUG
rnacentral:rRNA from 1 species